rnacentral:rRNA from 1 species
ACCAGUACCGUGAGGGAAAGGUGAAAAGCACUUCGAACAGAAGAGUGAAAUAGUCCCUGAACCCAUACGCCUACAAGCUGUCGGAGCCGCUUCGUGCGGUGACGGCGUGCCUUUUGCAUAAUGAGCCUACGAGUUACUCAUCACCAGCGAGGUUAAGUACUUCAGGUACGUAAGCCGAAGCGAAAGCGAGUCUGAAUAGGGCGUCAAGUUGGUGGUGGUAGACGCGAAACCUUAGUGAUCUACCCAUGGGCAGGGUGAAGGUUUGGUAACACAAACUGGAGGCCCGAACCGGUAAACGUUGAAAAGUUUUCGGAUGACCUGUGGGUAGGGGUGAAAGGCCAAUCAAACUGGGAAAUAGCUCGUACUCUCCGAAAUGCAUUUAGGUGCAGCCUCUGUUGUUUUGUUCUAGAGGUAGAGCUACUGAUUGGAUGCGAGGGCUUCACCGCCUAUCAAAUCCGGCCAAACUCCGAAUGCUAGAACAUGAAGACAGGGAGUGAGCCAGCGGGUGCUAAGGUCCGUUGACGAAAGAGGGAGAACUCAGACCAUCAGCUAAGGUCCCCAAUUAUAUGCUAAGUUGGAAUUAAAACGGGGUGGGACUGCUUAGACAGCUAGGAUGUUGGCUUGGAAGCAGCCAUUCAUUUAAAGAGUGCGUAACAGCUCACUAGUCGAGCGGUCCUGCAUGGAUAAUACGCGGGCAUAAGCAUAUAACCGAAGCUAUGGGAUUGUAGAUGAUACAAUCGGUAGGAGAGCAUUCCAUUCAGCGUAGAAGCAGUAUCGUGAGGUAUUGUGGAGCGGAUGGAAAAGCAAAUGUAGGCAUAAGUAACGAUAAUGCGGGUGAGAACCCCGCACGCCGAAAGAUCAAGGAUUCCCCGGCAAUGUCAAUCAUCCGGGGGUAAGUCGGAUCCUAAGGGUAAGCCGAGUGGCGAUCCCGAUGGCAAACAGGUUAAUAUUCCUGUACUGAUCAUAACUGCGAUGCAGCGACGCAGAGGUGACACUGCUGCGUACUGACGGAAUAGUACGUUGAAACCCGUAUUCUUUGAUACCGGUAGUGAAGCACGCCGGUAGAGAUGAAAGGUGAUAGUACCGCAAUGCUUCGGUUGCGCGGAUAACGCAGGUAAGCUGACUGCCAAGAAAACCUGCUAAGCUUCAGGUAAUGAUCAUCCGUACUGUAAACGGACACACGUGAUCAGGUAGAAAAUACUAAGGCGCUCGAGAGAUUCAUGGUUAAGGAACUAGGCAAAAUGGUCCUGUAACUUCGGGAUAAAGGACGCUCUUGUGAAAGAGCCGCAGAUAAUAGGCCCAGGCGACUGUUUACCAAAAACACAUGGCUAUGCUAAUUCGCAAGAAGAUGUAUAUGGCCUGACACCUGCCCGGUGCCGGAAGGUUAAGAGGAGAGCUCAGAGGCAACUCGAAGGUUUGAAUUGAAGCCCCGGUAAACGGCGGCCGUAACUAUAACGGUCCUAAGGUAGCGAAAUUCCUUGUCGGGU